GCUUUUUCUUUUGAAGCAAAAUCAUUCUUUGAAGCAACAAAAACAAUGUGUCAAGUUGGGCUCAAAAUUAAUACAAAGUGGAUUAUGACUUUGACCUGUAUAUCCUCCUGCCUCUAUUCCCCAAGGGCUGAGAGUUUCAGCCUCUCACGAUCACUACAGCAAUGAAAACUACUAGUUUGGUUUUAAUUUAAGAUUGCCUUUCCACUCUUAUCUCGGCCAUUGAUUUCCUGCCUCAUCCCUGUGGAUCCCACAGGAUGUUAGCCACUUGACCUUCCCAUGGCACGUUGUGAGUAUCUGUGACUCCUCGGUAGGAAUGACUGGAUAAGGAGUUCCAAGUUGGAGCAACAUUGUUUUCCAGUUUUUUGUUUUGUCUUUGGUUUAACUUCCUGUUCUAGAAUGUGAUAACAUAGUCGGUUUUAUUCUCUCCCUCUUGGAAUGAUAAAAUGGGUUUUAAUCCAUAGGGUAAAAUGCCUUCCUAAAAUGUAUGCAUUCUUGUGUAUCUACAGGUUUACUCUAGGUUGUGUGUCAUAAUAUUUACUCCUAUAUUUGAAAGAGACACUGUAAGAGCAGGAGGUUUUUUCCUAACCACUUUUGAGGAACAUUACAGAAGUUCAUUUAGUAGUUUGAUAGCAUUGCUUUUAAUAUGAUUUGAGGUUUUUCUUUAAUUAAUGUGUUUUUUGUCUCUCCUAGCCUUUUCCUUGCUUUGAAAUUGGAAUCAAAAUUUUUAAACUAUUUUCCUCACCUGUCUUCUACCCUUCUUAACUACCAACUUUACACUAGAUAUCGUUUGAAGAAUUAACAUGAAGACACUGACCAUUCUCACCUGGAAAGAAUAUUAUCCAAUAUAUUUACAAUACAUGGUGUGAUUCUGUUCUAUACUUGCAAUGUUAAGUGAAGAAUUACAACUUGGAGUUUACACACUGUCCAUUGAUGGCUGUUGAGGACUUCCCCAUGUUUUCUAAUGAAAUAACCUAUUUAAUAUGUCCUUCCACAACAGAGAACAAAUUUCUCUAUUUUAUAAUAUUAUAACAACAACUCAAUUUAAAGUGUGAAUCAAAGACAAUGUAUUCAUUUGUAAAUUAGAAAACUUUUGAACUCUGUCUUUCCUUUUAUGUACAUAAACUAUGUCAAUAAACUAGUGCCUCAGACCUGUGAGCCCUAAUGAACACUGGCUGUGUCUAUCGAUUAGGUCAUGCCCAGAAGAAGAUGGUAUAAAAAUUUCUUCAAACACCUAAAUGUGGAAAAUACCAGUGGCUGACUUUGAUUUUGUACAGCUUGACUUUGAUUUUGAGCAGCUAAUUAGCAUAGUAUUGCUGUUUCACUCACAGUUUUGUUUCAUACAAACACACUGAAUUACCAGCUCAAUACAGUUGUGGUUUCGGGGGGGGUGUUUUGUUUUGCUAUGUUUUUGUUUGUUUGUUUUGUAUUUUUUGUUUGUUUUUGAGUUUGUGGAGCAGACGUUUGCUGUUUUAGGUGGACAAGAUGUAUAAAUGGACUGAAAUUAAAUUUGUGAAUUUGCUGU
rnacentral:lncRNA from 1 species